UACGGAGGGUGCAAGCGUUGUUCGGAUUUAUUGGGCGUAAAGCGCGUGUAGGCGGUUUCUUAAGUCUGAUGUAAAAGCCCCGGGCUCAACCCGGGAAGUGCAUUGGAUACUGGGAGACUUGAAUACGGGAGAGGGUAGUGGAAUUCCUAGUGUAGGAGUGAAAUCCGUAGAUAUUAGGAGGAACACCGGUGGCGAAGGCGGCUACCUGGACCGAUAUUGACGCUGAGACGCGAAAGCGUGGGGAGCAAACAGG
rnacentral:rRNA from 1 species